rnacentral:rRNA from 1 species
CCUACGGGUGGCAGCAGUCGAGAAUUUUUGACAAUGGGGGAAACCCUGAUCGAGCGACGCCGCGUGGAGGAUGAAGGUCUUCGGGUUGUAAACUCCUGUCAUUUGGGAACUAGUACCAGAAGAGGAAGGGACGGCUAACUCUGUGCCAGCAGCCGCGGUAAUACAGAGGUCCCAAGCGUUGUUCGGAUUCAUUGGGCGUAAAGGGUGUGUAGGUGGCGCCGUAAGUCAGGUGUGAAAUCUCGGGGCUUAACUCCGAAACUGCAUUUGAUACUGCGGUGCUUGAGGACUGGAGAGGAGACUGGAAUUUAUGGUGUAGCAGUGAAAUGCGUAGAUAUCAUAAGGAAGACCAGUGGCGAAGGCGGGUCUCUGGACAGUCCUGACACUGAGACACGAAGGCCAGGGGAGCAAACGGGAUUAGAUACCCUUGUAGUC